UGCCUAGCUCUGCCACCACUCGAGGUCCGUUCGCAUAAAUCGUCUGGCAGGGGCGGGGGAACCACUUCUGGUCUUCGCAAGAAGGCCUUGGGGUUAAGUCGCAAAGCUUCCUUGAAGCAGCGUGGCCGGAUGACUCCCAUCCGAAUCCGACAGCUCACCUCGCAGGCAUUGGGAGAGGCUAC
rnacentral:sRNA from 2 species